rnacentral:lncRNA from 1 species
AGGAAGCACUGCUCCUUAUUCAUAGGUGCUGGGGCACCCCCAGCUUGGACUGUAGCUGGGUCAGCAGGUCCAGGCAGGAGUGGCCCUUGGUGUGAUUGGUGCCUGUGAUUGAUGUCCAAAUACUUCUCUUGACAUAUUUGAUUAUUUGCUUGCUGGGUCCCCAUGUGGAAAAAUCAAAGAUUAUUCACCAAAUUCUUCCUUAGAGUUUAUGUGAGAAAAUAUGGACAGAAUGACCAUAUCUGACUGCAACUUUUUUCAUCUAUUGUGCUGUGCAUGCAGUGGCCCAAAUCCUUCAUGGAAUGCUUUGGUGAAAACAGAAUUAAGGCCUCCAGGACAUGCAAACUAACCUCUGCUGCUUCCCUGGCAGGUGGAAGGUCCCACAGAAGCAGAACAGGCAUUGACCACCUCACAGCAUCUGGAGAUAUGUUUUUGAGCUACAUCAUGACCAAGUUUUCAGCUCAAGGUCAAGGAGCAGCUCCCUUUGCCUAUCAUCAGAGAAAAAGAGUGCCACCCAGGUCUAGCCAAAAUGCAGCAAUAACCAGAUUAUUCCAUGAAGGGGAGAGCUAUUCCUGGGGACCAUCUGAUAGAGAGAUGGGAACUGGUCUUUUAUCACUCAGGAUAGGAUCAAAAAGGACCAUUUAAGACCUAAAUAAGAAAAGGAAAAUAUGAUUCUGAGCUUAGUGGACUUUGGGAUGUCUUCCUUGGGAAGAGGGUGAGCAAUUUCUCUAUGUGAGAGGAAAAGUGAUCAGAUUAUUUGGUGAAAAAAAGGGGGACAUUAUACAGUUCUUAUUUCAUUCUGGGCACAUAGAAGACCAAGACCAUGUUUUCUAGACCCCUUGCUUUUAGAAAGACUAGGUGAUUAAUUCUAACCAAUGGUAUCACUUUUAAGCCAAAGAAUAAAAGAUGAUGUGUGAUAUCCCUAUGUGCUUUUUAUCUCCUUCACUGGCAUGAGUUCCAGAUCAUAUGCCAACAAGAUCAUGGUAUGUCCAUCAGCUUUGUCCUAUGUGGCUUGUAAAGAAGUCCAGUGUUUGAUGCAACAACUUUUUACUUAUUAAACUCUUAAUUAUUGGACUUAUCGCCACAGCAUUACCUAGAUUAUCCUACCCUCUCAAACUUUCUAAAAAAUAAUUUUUCCAGAACUCUUUUCAUCUAAUGCUGCUAUGUUCAGAAGCAUGUCCCCCUAUUGCUGUUGGUCACAGAUAAGUCCCUAGGAAGAGAUUCAGAGAGUUCCUGUGGGAAUUGAGCAAAGGCAGGAACAGAAAGGAGAAGCUGAAUCACAAAAUAGUUGCAACUGAGGGUCAACCAAUCCCAAAAAUCUCUGGACAGGGACAGCCCUUCAGUGUUGCCCAAAUGAAGUCCAGGGAAACAAGCUUCAUAUUCCCAUGUCUGCCAGACAUUGGCCUUGGGAUGGUCCCUAAGAGAGUUGCAUCCUUGGGUAAGGUCACUCCCAAUGAUGUGGGCACUUCCUUUGGGGUAGAGCUAUGAGCUGUCCUCAGUCAAUAAUCUCAGUAGCUGUGAGAUGGAUGCCUCAGCCCUGAGCACAAACCUGGGCUAACACUCAAAGUAUCUAUUGCAUUUCUUCACCUUCUUCUUUCUCAACCCAGUUAAUAAUCUCACAAUCUGAGAAAGUCCCUGGAAUGGCAUACAUAUACACAACUCCUCCCUUUUCUUUUGAUUGGGUGAGAGGGAAAGGCAUUGGGGAAGAGCAAAUCAUCUCUCUCCAGAACUCAGGCCCACUUAGCUGUGGGCUUUUGUAGAGCCCUAGGAAUGUUCCAAUCUCAGCUGAAAAUUCUGAGGUUCUUUCUGGAACAAUAGCCAUAGGUUUUUAUAUGUGACUCUCCUUAUUUUUCUCAAUUACAUUAGCUAAAAAUAUAAGUGUUGGGGCCAGGCGGGAAGGGAAACUCCUC